GAAAUGUGUCUGAAAUUUAGUAAAGCUUUAUAUAACUUGAAGGUUGUUUUUUGAAAUUUACACAUUCAGAAAUAAAUAACAAAUACUUUUUUUUCCCCUCCAAAUAAAACUCCAAAACAGCUUUUGUCCCAGUUUGUUUCUCCAUUUACUGGAUGCAUUUAUGGAAGGCACAUUACAGGUCUUUGUGGGAAGAAACAGAAAGAAAUCACAAAAGCAAUUAAGAGAGCUCAAAUAAUGGGUAAGAAAGAAUACCUCGACAACUGAAUUGAGCUAGCUGAAAUUUUGCUCAUUAUGUUUUGUCAAGAACUUUAAUUAUCUCUUUACAGGGUUUAUGCCAGUUACAUACAAGGAUCCUGCAUAUCUCAAGGACCCUAAAGUUUGUAACAUCAGAUAUCGGGAAUAAAUUCUAUCACGUUACCACUAAUAAACUUAUUUUACAGUA
rnacentral:sRNA from 1 species